CCUGUCUACCUGAGUCCUUCCAAGGGAUUUCCAGUAAGGUCCUUCUUUGUCAUCCAAGAAACUGUCUAAAUGGACCGAGGAAGAUGACAGCUACUAACCUUUCUGGAAGAAAUUUACAGGGUGGAACUUACAGGAUGGACAAAAUACCUUGUUGACUCUGCAGGUGGUUAAGAUCAGCACAGAUGGAGCCCAGAAUCACUCAUAACAUGGUCUGUCACAGUUUGGUCCCCUCCAUGUCCCCAUGCUGUCUGCUGCAGUACAAGAAGCAGAGGACCAGCAGAUUUUCCACAGUAAAAAUUGUAUACAUCAGUGGCAGCUGGAGGGAAUGCAACUUCAGGUCUGAAAAUACCUCAGUCCAUCAACAAGGAGGUGUGGCAGCUGGUUGCUGCUGUCAUACAGGAAGGAAACUGCAGCCUUCACUUUGAGCCAUGAGAAGCAAGUCAAGAAGGGGACACUCAUGCUUACAUCAUGAACACAAUGGGGCCAAGAUCCAGAGGAAAAUUAGAUCUACAGUAUCCCAUUGAUGAGCUAUGUGUGCAGCUAGCAGGAGUGUUGCACAAGGCAGCUGAAGGAUACUGAAUCAACAAUUAAUUGGCUGCCUGGCUUCUCUUGAGCUAGCAGCAGGGUCUAAAGAAAAACACUUGGAAGAGCUCAGAAACAUUAUUGUGAAGGACAGUAUCGUGUGCAGUAGUCCUCUUACCCAGACAAAAACAGCAACAAACCCAAACCUUUGGAAAUGCAAGUCAUUUUUCUUUAGAAGACUGCAGGAGAAGCAGUGCUUUUUAGAGGAAAUGUGAGAAAGGAAGCUGGUAAAAUUCAUACUAUGGCCCAUUCUCGUGACACAUCAUACAAGAAACACAAAGUUGAACAUCUUGCACAACAACCAUGCUAUCUUUCAUUACAUCCUGUACAAAAUAUAGUUAAAUGUACUCGCU